UGCCUAUACAAAUGUAUCUCAUCUGGAGAAUUUGCCGUUUGAAUAUAUUAUCCACGUCAAUAGCCCAGUUUGGGACACAGAUCACACGCAGAACGAAAAAGAUUUGAAAAAGACACUUUCGAAUGUUCUUGAUGUAGUAUGUAAAAGACAGUCACAAGUGAGAGUGAAAUCUUUAUCUAUUCCGUCAAUUAGUAGCGGGGCUGCUCGUUUUCCUAAGGACACAGCAUCAAAAAUCAUAUUGAAGGGCAUACUGGAUUAUGCAAAUGGAAUCAAAGUAGGCUCAUCUUGUCCACUUAAGAAGAUAUAUUGUGUCCUGUAUGACAACGACAGUGUAGACGCGUAUCAAAAGCAAUUUGACAUUGUAUAUAAUUCAAGAUUCCGUACAUUUUUGUGGCUUACGUCAUUCACAAAAGAGAGGAAUGGUGAUGAAAACUUUUUAUUUUCGAACAUGUAGCUGACGACACGCCUUUAUUCUAACUUUGUCUCACAGAAAAGCUUAAGGCUACACAGCAAUCGAGGUGUUAAAUAUUUGUCUUUUGACCUGUUCCGUUGGGGCCUUAAUGAUGUACUUGUUGCUAUCGCAUUUUUUGGUCAAGUUAUUUAGUAUUUGUGUAUUUAGUUCAUAUUGUUUUCAUUUUAUAAAGAUUUACACGAUAGUUUUUGUGAUAUCACCUUGUGCAUAUUGUUACUGUUCAUGGAACGUGACCAUUUCUUGGGGUUUUGGGUUGUUUAUCAUGUUUACUUUUCUUUUUAUUCAUAACAGUCGUGUACAUCUCAUAUGUAGACAAAUAGAAUAAUUAAGAAAGUAACUCGCCCUUAAUUUUAAAACUAUAUAUUAUCUAUGAUUUACUAAAGAAUAUGAAUUUUGAUAAAUUUGCAUUACAGAAAAGAUAGAACAAAACAAGGUCAAAACAAGGUCUCUUUGUAAAGUUUAGCUGUGGUUAUUUGUUACAAGCAGUUCAAUUGUUGUGCGAAUAUACUGGUUUCCUUAUACAUGUAUGAUACGGUUUUUUCCAUAAUUCUUACAUUUUUUAAACAGGAAUGUGUUAUCUGAAUAACCUGGCAGUUUUAUUGGAUAUGCUGAUAUGGCAAAGAAUUAAGAAAGAAAUUCAGUUAAUGUAGUCGAUGUCAUAAAUUGAAUGAUUGUUGGAAUUAGUUAAAUGCUGCUAAUUUUUGACAAACUAGUGUCAACUGACGACAACUAGACUUAUCUUAGUAGAACACUAGUCCGACUGUCUGAAAACAUAAAGGCACUUCGCUAAAUUUGGCAUUUGAUACAAUGGGUGUUAAACUAUAUAGCAAAUAACAGGUAGAAUAAUAAACAUUCGCUUUGAUUGAUUUAUGGUCUUCACAAAAAUCUUUUAUAAAAAAAAAAAAAAAAAAAAAAAAACAACCAGAAA